rnacentral:tRNA from 1 species
GGGCCCUUAGCUCAGUUGGUUAGAGCGCCGGCUUUGCAAGCCGGAGGCCAAGAGUUCGAAUCUCUUAGGGUCCA